rnacentral:lncRNA from 1 species
AGGGCUAAAAAGUUUGCUGGAAAUUUUCUUUUCAAAAAUCUCUCUUCUUGAUGAUUCCCACAUUUUUGUCCCUUUUAUAGCUUUAAGAAAUGGUGGAGAACAAUCUGGGCUGAAAUAGAGCCGUUAGACCAUAUUAAAUGAGCAUUAAAAGCAUUUAAAAUGGGUUAAAAACUAGCCGUUGCGAAAUUUUUCCGUCACAGGGGUCGACUCAUGGGUCGACUCAUGCUCAUGGGUCGACCUCUGUGGAAAAACAACAGAAAUCCAACAGAAAAGCAAGGUUCUGUAAGUUUGGCCUAAAAACAGCAGAGGUCGACUCAUGGGUCGACUCAUGCCUGGG